UUCAUCGGCUGCGGAUGGCCAUGCGGCGCAUUAGCUAGUCGGCGGGGUAACGGCCCACCGAGGCGACGAUGCGUAGGGGUUCUGAGAGGAAGGUCCCCCACACUGGUACUGAGACACGGACCAGACUCCUACGGGAGGCAGCAGUGAGGAAUAUUGGUCAAUGGCCGGGAGGCUGAACCAGCCAAGUCGCGUGAGGGAAGACGGCCCUACGGGUUGUAAACCUCUUUUGUCAGGGAGCAAGAGGCGGGUCGAGACCUGCUGUGAGAGUACCUGAAGAAAAAGCAUCGGCUAACUCCGUGCCAGCAGCCGCGGUAAUACGGAGGAUGCGAGCGUUAUCCGGAUUUAUUGGGUUUAAAGGGUGCGCAGGCGGAGGCACAAGUCAGCGGUAAAAUCGCGGGGCUCAACCCCGCUCCGCCGUUGAAACUGUGUCCCUUGAGUGCGCGAAGGGUAGGCGGAAUGCGUGGUGUAGCGGUGAAAUGCAUAGAUAUCACGCAGAACUCCGAUCGCGAAGGCAGCCUACCGGCGCGCAACUGACGCUCAUGCACGAAAGCGUGGGUAUCGAACAGGAUUAGAUACCCUGGUAGUCCACGCAGUAAACGAUGAAUGCUAUCUGUCCGGCCGGAAUGACGGCUGG
rnacentral:rRNA from 1 species